GAUGAACGCUGGCGGCGUGCCUAAUACAUGCAAGUCGAGCGAACAGACGAGGAGCUUGCUCCUCUGACGUUAGCGGCGGACGGGUGAGUAACACGUGGAUAACCUACCUAUAAGACUGGGAUAACUUCGGGAAACCGGAGCUAAUACCGGAUAAUAUAUUGAACCGCAUGGUUCAAUAGUGAAAGACGGUUUUGCUGUCACUUAUAGAUGGAUCCGCGCCGCAUUAGCUAGUUGGUAAGGUAACGGCUUACCAAGGCGACGAUGCGUAGCCGACCUGAGAGGGGGUGGGGCAACAUUGGAAAGGAGAGAGGGACAGACUCCCAAGGGGAGGCAGAAGAAGGAAAUUUUCAGAAUGGGGGAAAAGCUGGACGGGGCAAGACGGGGUGGGGGAUGAAGUUCUUCGGUUCGCAAAACGUGUUAAUUGGGGAGAAAAAAUUUUGAAAGUAACAUUGAACGCCUGGAGGGAACCAAAGCAGAAAGCCGAGGUAAACUAGGG
rnacentral:rRNA from 1 species